rnacentral:rRNA from 3 species
UGGGGAAUCUUGCGCAAUGGGGGGAACCCUGACGCAGCGACGCCGCGUGCGGGACGGAGGCCUUCGGGUCGUAAACCGCUUUCAGCAGGGAAGAGUCAAGACUGUACCUGCAGAAGAAGCCCCGGCUAACUACGUGCCAGCAGCCGCGGUAAUACGUAGGGGGCGAGCGUUAUCCGGAUUCAUUGGGCGUAAAGCGCGCGUAGGCGGCCCGGCAGGCCGGGGGUCGAAGCGGGGGGCUCAACCCCCCGAAGCCCCCGGAACCUCCGCGGCUUGGGUCCGGUAGGGGAGGGUGGAACACCCGGUGUAGCGGUGGAAUGCGCAGAUAUCGGGUGGAACACCGGUGGCGAAGGCGGCCCUCUGGGCCGAGACCGACGCUGAGGCGCGAAAGCUGGGGGAGCGAACA